AUGCCCAAUGGGGCACAAACUCCGACUGAGGAGGGUGAGGCGAGCAGGGGUGAGAGCCAGGAAGAGGAGGAGUGGGACUCGGACGUUGCAGGGGAUGACGACGACGAUGAUGAUGACGACGGCGACGACGAUGACGUUGAAGACGAGGAAGAAGAGGAGGAGGUCGUGCCACCGCGCUCGGAAAGGCGGUCGAAGCUCGUCCACGACCCUUCGACUGAAUGGGGCAAGGGGGUUGCGACUGCUGCACAGUCGACCAAGCACCCUCGGACCACCUCUCCAGCGCCGACUGAAAAGGCGCCGAAGCAGCCUAGGGGGGCUCCGUCAAAGUCGACCAAGCUCCUGCCGAAGAUGAAGGUGUCCAUCCCCACCAUAUCAGGGUAA
rnacentral:rRNA from 1 species